CACGGCCCAGACUCCUACGGGAGGCAGCAGUGGGGAAUAUUGCACAAUGGGCGAAAGCCUGAUGCAGCGACGCCGCGUGAGGGAUGACGGCCUUCGGGUUGUAAACCUCUUUCAGCAGGGAAGAAGCGAAAGUGACGGUACCUGCAGAAGAAGCGCCGGCUAACUACGUGCCAGCAGCCGCGGUAAUACGUAGGGCGCAAGCGUUGUCCGGAAUUAUUGGGCGUAAAGAGCUCGUAGGCGGCUUGUCACGUCGGUUGUGAAAGCCCGGGGCUUAACCCCGGGUCUGCAGUCGAUACGGGCAGGCUAGAGUUCGGUAGGGGAGAUCGGAAUUCCCUGGUGUAGCGGUGAAAUGCGCAGAUAUCAGGAGGAACACCGGUGGCGAAGGCGGAUCUCUGGGCCGAUACUGACGCUGAGGAGCGAAAGCGUGGGGAGCGAACAGGAUUAGAUACCCUGGUAGUCCACGCCGUAAACGGUGGGCACUAGGUGUGGGCAACAUUUCCACGUUGUCCGUGCCGCAGCUAACGCAUUAAGUGCCCCGCCUGGGGAGUACGGCCGCAAAGGCUAAAAACUCAAAGGAAUUUGACGGGGGCCCGCACAAGCGGCGGAGCAUGUGGCUUAAUUCGACGCAACGCGAAGAACCUUACCAAGGCUUGACAUACACCGGAAACGUCUGGAGACAGGCGCCCCCUUGUGGUCGGUGUACAGGUGGUGCAUGGCUGUCGUCAGCUCGUGUCGUGAGAUGUUGGGUUAAGUCCCGCAACGAGCGCAACCCUUGUCCCGUGUUGCCAGCAGGCCCUUGUGGUGCUGGGGACUCACGGGAGACCGCCGGGGUCAACUCGGAGGAAGGUGGGGACGACGUCAAGUCAUCAUGCCCCUUAUGUCUUGGGCUGCACACGUGCUACAAUGGCCGGUACAAUGAGCUGCGAUACCGCGAGGUGGAGCGAAUCUCAAAAAGCC
rnacentral:rRNA from 1 species